CAACUCUGGUUUCUCUUCACAUCGAGUAAAUCUUUCGCCUUUUACUAAAGGUUUCCGUGGUACGUUGAGCACCGAGUCAUCAUCUCUAUGCACUAGAAAUAGACUAUGCAUUUAU